rnacentral:rRNA from 1 species
UACGUAGGGCGCGAGCGUUAAUCGGAUUUACUGGGCGUAAAGCGAGCGCAGGUGGUUUAUUAAGUCUGGUGUAAAAGGCAGUGGCUCAACCAUUGUAUGCAUUGGAAACUGGUAGACUUGAGUGCAGGAGAGGAGAGUGGAAUUCCAUGUGUAGCGGUGAAAUGCGUAGAUAUAUGGAGGAACACCGGUGGCGAAAGCGGCUCUCUGGACUGUAACUGACACUGAGGCUCGAAAGCGUGGGUAGCAAACAGG